GUAUUUAUAUCCAAACACAUAUUUUUUACGGAUUUGGUUCAUGUUUGAACAAAGAAAUAAUUAUGCCAAUACAAUAAUUUAAAAAAAUGAAACAAUUAUGUUCUUGAUUUUAAAAUUACUUUGUCUGCUAAGGUUUAUUUCUGAUGUAAAUUGCUUAAAAUAAAAAAAAACUAAGUCGAUUUUCAAAUCAACAUUGAUUCAUUCUUAAACAAAAUAACACUUAUGGUAUAACGGACAUAAGAAAUAUUUAAAUAUGCCAUUACCGACAUGUUGAAAAAUUUGAUAAAGACCUAGAUCUUUAAAUGAGUUUGACUAUUCGAGAGAAUAAAAAAGUCGUAACUAUAUUUUGUGCAAGAUUAUAAGAUUUUAAUUGUGCAAUAUUUGAUGUGUUUGAUUUAACAUAAAAUCAAAAUUCUAGCACGGCCUUGUGUAAUUUGUUUGAAAUGACAUGACUUGAAAUGUGUCUUUAUGAGCGGUGGGUCAUAUUUCUUUCAUUUGUUGAAACCUUGUUUUAUGUUGCCAAACGUAUAGUGAUACUGUGCAAUCUUGAAUAUUUCUUAUAUUUUUAUAUGUAAUGCAUAUAUUGCAAGUACUUACUUCUGUAGGCAUACUUAUCUUUUUGAAUAAUCAUUUCUUGCUCAGUUACUCAAAAGACGAUAAUACUUGAUUUGCAAUGUUAUACAAUUGUAUCAUUACUUAACAGCAUGUUGAUGCUUUCGGUAGUGAUGUACUUAAUUAUGAAAUGUACCAUAAAGUUUUAUCCAAAGGUGCAAUAGAGAUAGAACCAUUUUAGUAAUUGUUGUUGGCCAUUUGUACCCACAAUAAAAUAUAAUUAACCAAACUUCUUGUUGAUAAAGAAUCAUUUAUUGCGUAUUUACCCAAUAGAGGUUAUACAUGUAAUUUGCCAAGUUAUUCAGUUAUGUUAUUACUUCACAGAGAAAUGAUAUGUUCGGUUCUGAUGUACUGAAUUAUGAAAUCUACCAAAAAGCUUUAUCUGAAGGUGAAGAAAAUGAUAACUCGGUUCGAGUAAAUGUUGUUGGUAAUUUUGCACAAGGCAAGACAUCAUUGACCAAUAUUCUUGUUGGUAAAGUAUCGGAAAGCGUUCAGAGCACCAAUAGUAUUGAAAUAAGUAGCUGUAAAUAUUCAAGUGCUCACGAAGGAGUCAAGUUUUGUCCAAAGAGAUCUAUAUUGGAUGACAAUGAAUACCACAGACGUAUUGCUUCAAUGAUACAGAUUGGAAAAGAGGGGAAGAAAUCAAAUCAAAAUACAGACAAUCCUAAAUUUAACAAAUUAAAAGAAGAAAGUGCAAACUCGCAAGGAAACGUCAGAAAGGCAGGAGUCAAGGCACAUAUUGGAAAGAGCUCUAUUAAAUCAAGAGACUAUCUUGAAGUUUCUAAGCUGCUCAGAUCAAAUCAAUGUGACCCGUUUAAUGCUGAUGAUGGAGACAUACAGUUCUGGGAUUUUGGAGGUCAGUUUAUCUUUUAUGCAACACAUACCUUAUUUCACAGCAAGACUUCUGUUUAUCUCAUGGUUUUUGAUUUAACCGAACCGUUAUCAGCUGUUAUACAGGAUCCUGAAUUUCAAAAUGAAACUGUAGGAAAAAGCAAGCAGCAGUUUGCAGAAUACUGGAUGAGAUCCAUACAUACUUACGUGGGAUCCGACGAUGGCUCACAACCUCCAGUAAUUCUCGUAGGUACUCAUAAAGACUUACUUAAAGGCGAUGAAAAGAUGAGACAGAAAUUUGCAUACGAUUAUUUUGAGGAAAUAAGGAAGCUUUUUGAGGAUACGCUGAUUAUCAAUCACAUCCAGAAAGAGGAUUUUGCUGUCGAUUGCACCAAUCCUUGCGACAGUAGUAUUGUUGAACUGCGUAAAGAAAUUAUACGUCUUGGUUCUAAUUAACAAGGGCACCUUAUUCCUGUAAGGUGGCUACCUCUUGAAAAAGAAUUGCUUGCCAAAAAGCAUAAAAAGAUAAUUAUGUAUAGCGAAGUCGUGGAAAUUGAUGACAAAAACGAGUUUCCGCUGAAAGACAAAGAACAAAUAAAAGUAUUUCUCCUCUAUCAACAUGCAAAAGGAAACUUAAUUUACUUUGACGAAGAGCCACUAUCAGCAUACGUUGCUUUGGACACGCAGUAUGUCAUUGACGCAUUUAAAUGUAUAAUUACUUCAGAGACAUUUUGCAAAAAAGAGCCAGCAUAUCGUCAUCUUUGGAAGACUCUUAGACAGGAAGCAAAGUUAAACAUGCAAUUGCUUGAAACAAUUUGGGGUACCGAUGCGAAAAACAACUUUCUGGAACACAAAGACGUGCUGCUGAUGGUGUUGCAAAGACAUUAUAUCAUUUCCGAAGCGUUGAGCUAUGACGACAAAACAGAGGAGACUAAAGGACUUGGGUGGUAUGUUGUUCCAUGCUUUCUCCGCUCAUACAGAGCUAAUGAUGCUCUAAAAGAAUUCGUCACUGGAAGACAACAGACUUUGCUGAAGUUUGUAAUGUCAUUUAAUAUCUCUCCGGUUGUGCAAAUAGUGUUUUAUCGGGUCGUUGCAGCUUUGAUUGGAAAAUGGGAGAUUGCCUCAAUUAAAAUUCCCGAACAAGAGAAGCAGGUGUUGCUGUAUGAAAAUCUCGGUGUAUUCAAACUUGACCGUCAGCAUGUCGGAAUAAUUGAACUUUACCAAGGUUUCAUUGAAUUACGUGUCCAGAACCUUUGUAAUUCUGGUGUUAAUGUUGCUAUAGUCGACUUGUUUCGACGAUUUGUGGUUUCAAACGUCAAAAACGAAUUUCGAAAACACAGGCAUGCAGCAAUAAAGCAAAGAAACCCUUUUGAGAUUUGUUUUAAAUGCAACGACCAAAGUCACGGCUUUGAUGGAAGUCGACAAACUGUGUCAAUGGAAGAACUUAAAGAAACAACGGUUGAACCUUGUCCAGACGGUUUGAGUGGCCAUACAAUAUGUACACGGCAAGCUCUUUAUGAAUGGUAUCAAGACUACCAGAACAUAAGAUUAAAAACUGAUUAUGUCUUAGAAGAGAAAUACAUCAGCAAACUAUCUAAAACCGUAGCAGAAAAUUGGCAAGUGCUUGGUCAUGAACUUGGUUUACACGACGUACAACUAGAACACAUAGAAAUGGACAACAAAUCAACAGUUAGAAUGAUAUUUAAGAUGCUUCAAAAAUGGUCUGCUCAGAAGGAAGACAAUGCCACCUUCAAUACACUUAUACAAGCCAUGAAAUCAUCUAUUGAAAAAUAUGUUGACUGGGAUGAAGUGCGGAACAUCGUGGAGGAAAUAGAAUCCAAAAUAUAGCAUCGAUUAUUACAGAAUACAAAUACUGUAUACGAGAACUAAAAGACAGAAUAUGGCAAUGACGUACUUACUCAGAUAAGCUUAAAGUCAUCCUGCUUCUUAUUGGACUAUUAAAAAGUAUAUUGAAAAAAAA